ensembl:lncRNA
CUCACGGAACCCUGAGCAUCCUCCUGUUGACUAAAUUUCCCCGGUGACGUCAGAGUGCACGUACAUCGUCCAUGUAAGUGAUGCUUCUGAAUGAAUGAGUGUCCCCUCCCACCUCCAAUACUAGUACUACGGGAUGUCUAUAAGAGCAGAUCGCCGGGACAGCCCGCUGAAUUGCAUGACAUGAGGAGUGAGGCGCAGGUGCCAGAAGCGAAAUUUAAAAAGAUCAAAAUCCGACAUAUAUUUUUUUUACAAGAAUGUAGUAGCAGUGCUGGCCAUGGGGGUAGUUUUAUUCAAGUCGUAAAGUGUAGAAAUCUCCGCUGGAGUUGAGAAGACCAUGGGGGUCGCGGGGGGAGCUGGAAUCCAUCCCAGCCAAGAUCGGGCGAGAGACGGGGCCGUCAAUUGCAGGGCUGACACAUAUCCACACAUAUAUGCAUAUCUAUACACAUGUACAUAUGUAUAUAUACAUGCACAGGAAUAACUGAACUCUACGAGCCUGACUAUGAUUUCAGCACAUAGGUAUCAAUAAUUACAUGUAAGAGAUGUUAUGCUAAGGACAAUAUGUUUGAAUACAUUUUUAAAAAAGCUUUACAUAUGUGCUGUACAUUUGAGAAGGAAUAUUACAGGACCAAAUUCUGGAAGGAGGAAGACUCCUUGACAGAUAGGUGAAGGUUUUGGGUUUUGAAGUUAGAGCAGGGCAGCCAUCAGGGAAAGACUACAUGUAUAAUCCUAAUGAAAACCAAUCCCCUCCUCCCAGCAAAAGAGCAACGGGAAUUUCCUGAAACUGCCGUUAAUUCUGAUAUUCACUCCUCGUCCUAGGUGUCUUUUUUGUCAAAUUUCUAAGGAAAGCUUUUGGUUUGUGAUUUCCCCAUUCACAAAUAUGCAAGUUUAAGUACAAGCCAUGUCAUGUCUUAUUUCUGAUUAAUAAAUAGAUUAAUCAAUAAUAUAUGAGAGUUUGUGUCUUUUUCAGUAAUAACGAUUCAAACUUCAGGACCCAAUGUGCACGUGCUGGUUUAAGAACUGAUUUAAAUUGAUCAUCACAAACAUAUCAAACCUCGUCCUGAGGCUGUAGCUGCCAUCUUCUGGUAGAGGCUCCUUCCUGUAGAUGAGGGUCCAUUUUCUCUGCACUGUAAGAUCGUACUGAAGUCCUUUCCAGCAGCACAUAAGCUGGCUGUUCAGAGACCAAGACUGAAAACAUAAAGUUGGCACCGUUGCUGAUUAUAACAUUCAACUUGAGGUAGAAUUUCUAACACAAUCAUAUGGUAAUUGCUGAUGUGAAAAGUGAAAGAAAAA